CCUACGGGUGGCAGCAGUGGGGAAUAUUGCACAAUGGGCGAAAGUCUGAUGCAGCAACGCCGCGUGAAGGAAGACGGUUUUCGGAUUGUAAACUUCUGUUCUUAGUGAAGAAUAAUGACGGUAACUCAUGAGCAUGCCACGGCUCAAUACGUGUCAGCAGCCGCGGUAAUACGGAGGUGGCAAGCGUUGUCCGGAUUUAAUGGGUGUAAAGGGAGCGUAGGCGGGAAGCCAAGUCAGCUGUGAAAACUACGGGCUUAACCUGUAGACUGCAGUUGAAACUGGCUUUCUUGAGUGAAGGAGAGGUUGGCGGAAUUCCGAGUGUAGCGGUGAAAUGCGUAGAUAUUCGGAGGAACACCGGUGGCGAAGGCGGCCAACUGGGCUUUAACUGACGCUGAGGCUCGAAAGUGUGGGGAGCAAACAGGAUUAGAUACCCGGGUAGUC
rnacentral:rRNA from 1 species